rnacentral:rRNA from 1 species
UCUGGAGACAGGUGCUGCAUGGCUGUCGUCAGCUCGUGUCGUGAGAUGUUGGGUUAAGUCCGCAACGAGCGCAACCCUUGCCUUUAGUUGCCAGCAGUUCGGCUGGGCACUCUAAAGGGACUGCCGGUGUUAAACCGGAGGAAGGUGGGGAUGGACGUCAAGUCCUCAUGGCCUUUAUGACCAGGGCUACACACGUACUACAAUGGCCGAUACAAAGGGCAGCGACACUGCGAGGUGAAGCCAAUCCCGUAAAAUACGGUCUCAGUCCGGAUUGGAGUCUGCAACUCGACUCCAUGAAGUUGGAAUCGCUAGUAAUCGUGGAUCAGCAUGCCACGGUGAAUACGUUCCCGGGCCUU